rnacentral:lncRNA from 1 species
AUUCGAAGAAACUUCUGUUACUAGAAAAUAAAAUUCUGGUAGCAGCUGCAGUAAAUUCUUUCCCUUGCAGAAACAGUGUAAGAGUAUCAUUAAGGAAUGGGGGACAACCAAUCACGGGUCACAGAAUUCAUCCUGGUUGGAUUCCAGCUCAGUGUGGAGAUGGAAGUGCUCCUCUUCUGGAUCUUCUCCCUGUUAUAUCUCUUCAGCCUGCUGGCAAAUGGCAUGAUCUUGGGGCUCAUCUGUCUGGAUCCCAGACUGCGCACCCCCAUGUACUUCUUCCUGUCACACUUGGCCGUCAUUGACAUAUACUAUGCUUCCAGCAAUUUGCUCAACAUGCUGGAAAACCUAGUGAAACACAAAAAAAACUAUCUCGUUCAUCUCUUGCAUUAUGCAGAUGGCUUUGUAUUUGACUUUUGCUGCUGCAGUGUGCAUGAUUUUGGUGGUGAUGUCCUAUGACAGAUUUGUGGCGAUCUGCCAUCCCCUGCAUUACACUGUCAUCAUGAACUGGAGAGUGUGCACAGUACUGGCUAUUACUUCCUGGGCAUGUGGAUUUUCCCUGGCCCUCAUAAAUCUAAUUCUCCUUCUAAGGCUGCCCUUCUGUGGGCCCCAGGAGGUGAACCACUUCUUCGGUGAAAUUCUGUCUGUCCUCAAACUGGCCUGUGCAGACACCUGGAUUAAUGAAAUUUUUGUCUUUGCUGGUGGUGUGUUUGUCUUAGUCGGGCCCCUUUCCUUGAUGCUGAUCUCCUACAUGCGCAUCCUCUUGGCCAUCCUGAAGAUCCAGUCAAAGGAGGGCCGCAAAAAAGCCUUUUCCACCUGCUCCUCCCACCUCUGUGUGGUUGGGCUUUACUUUGGCAUGGCCAUGGUGGUUUACCUGGUCCCAGACAACAGUCAACGACAGAAGCAGCAGAAAAUUCUCACCCUGUUUUACAGCCUUUUCAACCCAUUGCUGAACCCCCUCAUCUACAGCCUGCGGAAUGCUCAAGUGAAGGGUGCCUUAUACAGAGCACUGCAGAAAAAGAGGACCAUGUGAAUGAGGGGAGAAUUUUGGUUCAGUUGAUCUACCUUUAUGAGAUGUGGUUUGCUUGUGCAAUACAACUCAGAAAAAGUCCACAAGAAGAGGCUUCAUUUAAGAAUGAAAAUUAUCUAGAUUUUGGCCCUGAAAAUGGGAACAAAUUUCAUGGGUAUGCCCAUCUUCUUAUAUUAAGUAGCCUUGUUAGGAUACAGAAUAGCUAUGUUAGAAUAUCUAAUUUUUUGUUUAAAAUAAUGACAUAUUUUAAAAAAUCAGAAAUAGGACUACAUGGAGAUAAAAUAAUUAUUAUUUUAUAAUUUCAACUUUUGUUUUAGAUUCAGGGGGUACAUGUGCAGGUUUGUUACAUGGUUAUAUCAUGUGAUGCUGAAAUUUGGUGUGAGAUAGAACCCAUCACCCAGGAAGUGAGUAUACUAUCCAACAGAAAGUUACAUCAACACAUUACUCUUCGCUGAUCAAUCAGGACAUAUGUAACUCCUACCAUUACCUGGUAGCAGCUAAAAACGGUAGAUUAAAAUCAAUAUUAAGAGAAAAAACUUCCAAGAGAAACCAGAACUUUAAUAAACAGUAAUGUAGAGCAAUGUGUUCCUACUUCACUGAUUAUGAGGACAAUGAAAUAAAUGACUGAGAAAUUAUAAAUUCCUUUUGGGAAUAAUUCAGAAAAGUAAACAAGAAAACAUUGUGGAAAACUUCAAUGAGAAGAAAGAAAGAGAGAGAGAGAAAGAAAAAAAGAAAGAGAGAAAGAGAGA